rnacentral:rRNA from 1 species
GACGAACGCUGGCGGCGUGCUUAACACAUGCAAGUCGAACGGAUCACCUUUGCUUCGGUUUUGGUGGUUAGUGGCGAACGGGUGAGUAACACGUGAGCAACCUGCCCUUCACUGGGGGAUAACUGUGGGAAACUUCAGCUAAUACCGCAUGUACACCUUCUAUCGCAUGGUGGUUGGUGGAAAGUUUUUUCGGUGAGGGAUGGGCUCGCGGCCUAUCAGCUUGUUGGUGGGGUAAUGGCCUACCAAGGCUUUGACGGGUAGCCGGCCUGAGAGGGCGACCGGCCACACUGGGACUGAGAUACGGCCCAGACUCCUACGGGAGGCAGCAGUGGGGAAUAUUGCGCAAUGGACGGAAGUCUGAUGCAGCAACGCCGCGUGCGGGAUGACGGCCUUCGGGUUGUAAACCGCUUUCACCAGGGGCGAAUUUGACGGUACCUGGAGAAGAAGCACCGGCUAACUACGUGCCAGCAGCCGCGGUAACAC